UCAACAGGAUUUGGACCAGGGAUGGCUGGAGCUUGGCAUGUAAAUCCAGCUGUCUCCUGCGUGCACAAAUCCAAACUGAGCCGAUGUGGGAGGAGCAGACCCAGACCGGGAGGGAGAUGCAGAAGGGACAAAAGGAAGAGCUGAUUUCCCACCUCUGCAGUGAAUUCUGCUUCAACACCCACAUGUCUGCUAUUGAAGCCAAUCAGCAGGAUUGACUCAGGGCCACCUAACAGAAGAAAGCAAGGAGGUGCUGAACACAACCCUGGGAUCCUUCCCUGGAGAAAAGCCCAGGUCAAGAGCCAGAAUCAGAGUGAAGAACCAGAGUCACAGCCAGAUGUGUCACAUUUUCAGCUGUAGAAAGCCAGUCCUGGAAGACCUGUGGGUGAUGGAGGGGGUUUGCAGCAUUGCUGAGCACAAACCACUCGACAUAACUUGUGCUCAGAAGCAGCUCUGGGCAUUACCCGUGAAGUUAUUGUCGUCUUGUAUAAUCCACAUUUGCUUUAUGAUGACACAGUGUCUUCCCUGCUGGAUAUUUUACUUUUCAAGCAGUAAGACAAUAAACUAC